GCCCCCUCCCCCCCUCGCGGGAGAAAGCGCGGGAAAGUCGUUCUGACUCAAAAUUCGCCUAAAUUCGAGUAAAAACGGGGCGGAGUUAUUAUUAAUAACGCUGACGAAACGCCGCUGGAGUAAAGCACCGCGGAAACACUGCCGGAGUGACACACUGCUGUUGUUUGUGGCGAUUCCACCCCUCCAACGCGCCUGCGGCCGCCCCCGGCCUCACUGAAAACCAACGCCCUGAAACUUAAACGCUGGGGUUUUUUUUAAUGUUUGCCAACAUUUCUGCUCCCGAGUGAGCGUGGAUUAAGCAGUUCUCCAAACACCGGUGUCCCAGCAGCAGAUGGAGAUGCACAGCCCAUUGCCCAGCCCUGGCUGAACUCCCUAAGAAAU